UGGGGAAUUUUGGACAAUGGGCGCAAGCCUGAUCCAGCCAUGCCGCGUGCGGGAAGAAAGGCCUUCGGGUUGUAAACCGCUUUGUCAGGGAAGAAAUCUUCUGAGUUAAUACCUCGGGAGGAUGACGGUACCUGAAGAAUAAGCACCGGCUAACUACGUGCCAGCAGCCGCGGUAAUACGUGGGUGCAAGCGUUAAUCGGAAUUACUGGGCGUAAAGCGUGCGCAGGCGGUUUUGUAAGACAGAGGUGAAAUCCCCGGGCUCAACCUGGGGAACUGCCUUUGUGACUGCAAGGCUUGAGUGCGGCAGAGGGGGAUGGAAUUCCGCGUGUAGCAGUGAAAUGCGUAGAUAUGCGGAGGAACACCGAUGGCGAAGGCCAAUCCCCUGGGCCUGCACUGACGCUCAUGCA
rnacentral:rRNA from 1 species